CCUACGGAGGCAGCAGUAAGGAAUAUUGGACAAUGCUCGCAAGAGUGAUCCAGCCAUGCCGCGUGCAGGAAGAAUGCCCUAUGGGUAGUAAACUGCUUUUGAACUAGAGAAAACCCCAGUACGUGUACUGGGCUGAUAGUAUAGUUAGAAUAAGCAUCGGCUAACUUCGUGCCAGCAGCCGCGGUAAGACGAAGGAUGCAAGCGUUAUCCGGAUUCAUUGGGUUUAAAGGGAGCGUAGGUGGACUGAUAAGUCAGUGGUGAAAUCUCCGAGCUUAACUCGGAAAUUGCCAUUGAUACUGUUGGUCUUGAGUACAGUUGCUGUGGGCGGAAUAUGACAUGUAGUGGUGAAAUACAUAGAGAUGUCAUAGAACACCGAUUGCGAAGGCAGCUCACAAAGCUGUAACUGACACUGAGGCUCGAAAGUGCGGGGAUCAAACAGGAUUAGAUACCCUGGUAGUCCGCACCGUAAACGAUGAUUACUCGCUGCUAGGGGGCAACCUUUAGUGGCUUAGCGAAAGCGANAAGUAAUCCCACCGUGGAGGUACGCCGGCGACGUAGAAGUACGAAGAAGUUAGACGCGNGAGAGNGCGACGGCGACGACGAGGGAGGAGG
rnacentral:rRNA from 1 species